UGCUUAACACAUGCAAGUUGAACGAAGCUCAAGGGAUUGACUCCUUCGGGAAGAUAUUCUUUGAGACUUAGUGGCGAACGGGUGAGUAACACGUGAGCAACCACCCCCUGACAGUGGAAUAACAACGGGAAACCGUUGCUAAUACCGCAUAAUAUCCCUGUAUGGCAUCAUAUGGGGAUCAAAGAUUUAUCGGUCAGGGACGGGCUCGCGUCCGAUUAGGUAGUAGGUAAGGUAACGGCUUACCUAGCCUGCGAUCGGUAGCCGGACUGAGAGGUCGAUCGGCCACAUUGGGACUGAGACACGGCCCACACUCCUACGGGAGGCAGCAGUGGGGAAUAUUGGGCAAUGGGGGCAACCCUGACCCAGCGACGCCGCGUGAAGGACGAAGGCAUUCGUGUUGUAAACUUCUUUGGAGAGGGACGAAGAUGACGGUACCUCUCGAACAAGCCACGGCUAACUACGUGCCAGCAGCCGCGGUAAUACGUAGGUGGCAAGCGUUAUCCGGAAUUACUGGGUGUAAAGGGCGCGCAGGCGGCCCUGCAAGUCGGAUGUGAAAGAUCAAGGCUCAACCUUGACAGGCCAUUCGAAACUGUGGGGCUUGAGUGUCAGAGGGGAAAGUGGAAUUCCUAGUGGAGCGGUAAAAUGCGCAGAUAUUAGGAGGAACACCGGUGGCGAAGGCGACUUUCUGGCUGACAACUGACGCUGAGGCGCGAAAGCGUGGGGAGCAAACAGGAUUAGAUAUCCUGGUAGUCCACGCCGUAAACGUUGCACAUUUGCCGUGGGGGGAAUUGACCCCCCCCCGUGGCAGAGCUAACGCGUUAAAUGUGCCGCCUGGGGAGUACGGCCGCAAGGUUAAAACUCAAAGAAAUUGACGGGGGCCCGCACAAGCGGAGGAGCAUGUGGCUUAAUUCGAUGCAACGCGAAGAACCUUACCUAGGCUUGACAUGUGACUGCACGCCCUGUGAAAGCAGGGCUCCUUCGAGGGUGUCACACAGGUGCUGCAUGGCUGUCGUCAGUUCGUGCCGUGAGGUGUUUGGUUAAGUCCACCAACGAACGCAACCCCUGCGUCCAUUUGCCAACGGGUAAUGCCGGGAACUAUGGACGGACUGCCCCUUCAAACGGGAGGAAGGUGGGGAUGACGUCAAGUCAGUAUGGCCCUUACGCCUAGGGCUGCACACGUGCUACAAUGGCCGGUACAGAAGGAUGCAAGACCGCGAGGUGGAGCAAAACCCCAAAACCGGCCCCAGUUCAGAUUGGAGUCUGCAAUUCGACUCCAUGAAGUUGGAUUCGCUAGUAACGGCGCAUCAGCAUUCGGCGCCGUGAAUACGUUCCCGGGCCUUGUACACACCGCCCGUCA
rnacentral:rRNA from 1 species